UAGGUAACCGCACGAGUGUGCCAGGGUGGAACGAAAGGUGAAUGCUGUUGUCGAAAUAUGGAAUUUACAAUCAAGUUAUUAUUGGUGGUCGCCGCACAUGCCAUGCUACAAGCCGUCGGAGCAUCCCAAUCGGAUCCCUACCAAAUCCGCUUUAACGUAUCGGUACCUGGACGGCGGUUCUUUCCGUGUCUGCAAUGCUUCAAUUAUCCAUGCGAGGGAAAGGAAUUCUUUUACGACUACUCCUGCUGCCGCGUGUGUCGCAUCACAAGAUUCUGGGAACUUUGCGCGCGUGACAAAGCCGAUCCGCCUGUCGUGUGUCCGGAACACUACGUGUGCUUAGAAUUUUCUCGGGAAUGCAUGCGUAAAUACGGGGAAUAAAAAUGCUUGCGAAUG